rnacentral:rRNA from 2 species
UAGGGAAUCUUCGGCAAUGGACGAAAGUCUGACCGAGCAACGCCGCGUGAGUGAAGAAGGUUUUCGGAUCGUAAAACUCUGUUGUUAGAGAAGAACAAGGACGUUAGUAACUGAACGUCCCCUGACGGUAUCUAACCAGAAAGCCACGGCUAACUACGUGCCAGCAGCCGCGGUAAUACGUAGGUGGCAAGCGUUGUCCGGAUUUAUUGGGCGUAAAGCGAGCGCAGGCGGUUUCUUAAGUCUGAUGUGAAAGCCCCCGGCUCAACCAGGGAGGGUCAUUGGAAACUGGGAGACUUGAGUGCAGAAGAGGAGAGUGGAAUUCCAUGUGUAGCGGUGAAAUGCGUAGAUAUAUGGAGGAACACCAGUGGCGAAGGCGGCUCUCUGGUCUGUAACUGACGCUGAGGCUCGAAAGCGUGGGGAGCAAACAGG